rnacentral:lncRNA from 1 species
CUGGGCUACUCUAACUGGAUGAAAUGCUAAUUAAAACUGAUUUAAGACGGUAUAAGAAGGAGUUUUUUAAACUAGAUAUGCCAAUAUGCUGCACAGUGUCAAAAUUCCAAUGGAGCUUGCAAUAAUCAAACCAGGUGAUAAAACAAUUCACUCUAUUGACCCUGUGGGAGAACAGAU